GACGAACGCUGGCGGCGUGCUUAACACAUGCCAGUCGAACGGAAAGGCCCUGCUUUUGUGGGGUGCUCGAGUGGCGAACGGGUGAGUAACACGUGAGUAACCUGCCCUUGACCUUGGGAUAACUUCAGGAAACUGGGGCUAAUACCGGAUAGGAGCUCCUGCUGCAUGGUGGGGGUUGGAAAGUUUCGGCGGUUGGGGAUGGACUCGCGGCUUAUCAGCUUGUUGGUGGGGUAGUGGCUUACCAAGGCUUUGACGGGUAGCCGGCCUGAGAGGGUGACCGGCCACAUUGGGACUGAGAUACGGCCCAGACUCCUACGGGAGGCAGCAGUGGGGAAUAUUGCACAAUGGGCGGAAGCCUGAUGCAGCAACGCCGCGUGCGGGAUGACGGCCUUCGGGUUGUAAACCGCUUUCGCCUGUGACGAAGCGUGAGUGACGGUAAUUGGUAAAGAAGCACCGGCUAACUACGUG
rnacentral:rRNA from 1 species